CCUACGGGGCGCAGCAGUGAGGAAUAUUGGUCAGUGGACGGAAGUCUGAACCAGCCAUGCCGCGUGCAGGAAGACGGCUCUAUGAGUUGUAAACUGCUUUUGUACCGGGGUAAAAUGCCUUACGAGUAGGGUUUUGAAAGUACGGUACGAAUAAGGAUCGGCUAACUCCGUGCCAGCAGCCGCGGUAAUACGGAGGAUCCGAGCGUUAUCCGGAUUCAUUGGGUUCAAAGGGUGCGUAGGUUGUUUUAUAAGUUAGCGGUGAAAUACCGAUGCUCAACAUCGGGGCUGCCGCUAAUACUGUAGGG
rnacentral:rRNA from 1 species